UCCUUCUUAGCUCAGUUGAUAGAGCGCGUCACUAGUAUUUGUAAGUGCCGUAUGAGUAUCAAUGACGAGGUCAGUUGUUCAAGUCGGCUAGAAGGAA